AACGAGGGCUUCGAAGCAGUGCCCGUCUUAACUAGGCUGUAAAGGGAGAGUAGGCUGUUCUUUAGUUAGGGCUCAAAAUAAGCGAUAUUAAUAUGCCUAAUGUUUUCUUUAGAACUACGAGGUUUGUAGAUGAACACGGUGAUUUUCAAAGUAGCAAUGAACAAGUUAUGAGAUUGAAAGAACCACCGAAUGGCGAUUGCAGUGUUCAAUACUUUUUCCUUGACGCUGAAGCUCUGAAAGUGUGGGGAGCAAACCGG
rnacentral:rRNA from 1 species